rnacentral:rRNA from 1 species
GACGAACGCUGGCGGCGUGCUUAACACAUGCAAGUCGAGCGGUAAGGCCCUUCGGGUACACGAGCGGCGAACGGGUGAGUAACACGUGGGUGACCUGCCCUCCACUUCGGGAUAAGCCCGGGAAACUGGGUCUAAUACCGGAUAGGACCAUCGCACGCAUGUGUGGUGGUGGAAAGUCUUUUCGGUGGGGGAUGGGCCCGCGGUCUAUCAGCUUGUUGGUGGGGUGAUGGCCUACCAAGGCGACGACGGAUAGCCGGCCUGAGAGGGUGAUCGGCCACACUGGGACUGAGACACGGCCCAGACUCCUACGGGAGGCAGCAGUGGGGAAUCUUGCGCAAUGGGCGGAAGCCUGACGCAGCAACGCCGCGUGAGGGAUGACGGCCU